AGAAGAAUAAACCCAGAAGUCCCAGGCUGCCCUCCCUCCCCUCCUCAACCUUCCUCACAGCAGGACGUCUCUGGUUUGUUGUUUUCCAGUUAUUCUGUCUCUUUAGCUCCUUUAAGGAGGGAGCUUUGUUCAGUUGGUUUUGAGACCGGGUUUCCACAGUACAGCUUUGACUGGUCUUGAACUCGCUCUGUAGACCAGGCUGUUCUUGAACUUAAAGAGAUCCAUUUGAUCUGGCUGCCUCCUAAGUGCUGGGCCUAAAGGUAUGGGCCACCAGACCCAGCACUGAGUGGGCUAUGGACAUUAUCUGCUUCUUGUCUAUGGUGAUGGAGGACUCGGCUUUGAUAUUCUCCCCAGAACAUUCUUCUCCAUCUUUCUUUCUCAACUCAUGUGACUUUCAGCACCUUCACGUGAUCCAAGCUGGGUAAUGUCUUGUUUCUUAUAUUAUUAUUAUUUUUUUAAUUUAUUUACGUCUGUGUCGGUACCGGGGAGCAUUUGUGUGGAGGUCAGAGGACAACUUUCAGGAGUCAGUUCUUUCCUACCACCGUAUGGGUGCCAAGAAUCAAGCUCGGAUCAUCGGGCCUUUUGGGAAACGCACUUAGCCACUGUCUACCCACCUGUUUCUUGUUUGCUUUUUUUUCUGGGAUCUUUGCUGUCACCCUGGCCCUGCCUGUUCAGUUCUCUGUGCUAAUCCCUUCUUAUAUGCCUUCCUUUUGCUUCAAGUGUAAUUUUCAGUGUGGUCAAGUUUGCCAUCAGGGUGCUGGGGCUGUAGUUCAGCUGGUAGAACACUUACUUAGCAUUCAUUAAGCCUGGGUUUGAUCCCCCAGAACUGCAUAAACUGGGUGUGGUGGUGCGUCCUUGUAAUCUCAGCACUCUAGAGAAACAAGUAGGAGGGCCAGAAGUUCAAGGGCAUCCUUGACCACAUAGUAAGUACAAGGCCAGCCUAGGCUACAUAAGACCUUUUCUUCAAUGUCCAAUAACAAAUAGAAACAAUAACGUGCCCUAACAUGGUGGACUGCUCCCCCGCUCCACAGCUGCCAGCUUGUGCUUCCUCCUCCUCUGUCUCUGGAGUGUUGGAGCCCUGGUCCCUCAUCCCUGUGUCCUCCCUCUCCUGCUGGAUUCUAUGGCAGUUAAGUCUCCUGACAGAGGUCGCCUCUUAACAAAGACUCUCCUGUGGAUGUGCAUAUCUGAAAAUGCAUUUCUUCUGCUCUCCCUUUUGAUCGGUGGCUUCACCGAAUGUAGACUUAUGAAUUAAAAAUAAUUUUCCUUUCAAAGCUUGAAGGCAUCUCACCAUUUUCUUGUAACGUCACCGUGAAGGGUGUCUCACAUCUAUAAUCCCAGCACUUGGGAGGCUGAGUAGGAACACGGCCAAGAACUCAAGGCCAGCCUGGGCUGCCUGGCGAGCCCCACAUCUCAGCACAUACAUACACCCCUGCCUCCCAAUCCCUAGGAAAUGUGGUGCAACAUAGGGUACAGUGGCUCACACCCGUACUUCUAGUACUUAGGAGGCGGAGGGAGAAGGAUUGCUUGGCCUACAUAGCAAGUUUUGUCGCAAAAAAAAAAUGAAGUUUAAUGUCACCCUUAUUCUGAGUCCUGGGGGGGGGGCGUGGGUGUAGGGGAAGAAGGGGUAGGGAGAGAGCCCGUGACCGGCCAGAGUUCCUGUGCUCUGGGCAGGUGGACGUGGGAGGACUGCUGGAUGCUUUCUACAUGGCCCUGGGUGGGCAUCUGCCUGUGUAAAGCCACUGACCCCCACAUGGUCGGGGGGUGGACAAGGGGCAGCUCCCAGUACCAGGUUCUCAGUCUCUGGCAUCCCAUACUGGAUACGGCAGAGGAGCUGGGAACAGAAUAGGGGCCCCGGGGCGGCACUAGGCUGUGGAGAUAUGGGGAGAGGGUAGAGGGAGAGAGUGGGCGCUGGGUGGUUCCCACGCAGGCAAGAGUCUUUAGUCUGGUCCGUGGCUGGAGCACAGGAAGGCUUUUCUGAAGGGAGGUUAGAAGCAGCUCGUUAGAAGAAAGCCUAUCCCAUCCACCAAGCACAGCGGGCCUUGAUAAACAGAGGCAGUCUAUGGUUUUAGAGCUUUGUUGUAGAAAGAAAGGGGGAAAGAGAGAAAGUAGAAGGGGAGAGAGACCAGCCAUGGCCAAGAGGAGAUCUCGAAGGGGGAAAGAGAGAGAGAGAAGGAG
rnacentral:lncRNA from 1 species